UCUCUUUCUCAUGUCUCUCUCUCUCUCUCGAUCUUUUCAUGUCCCGCUUCCUCUCUCAUGUUUCUCUUCAUCCCCACAUGGAAUUCUUCUCCUCCUAUGGUCCUACCAAGAAAUCGACCCACCUAUCUCUCCUUAAUCAUCUCCUCCGCUCUCUCCUCAACGAUGAGGUAUUUCAGUCUGAGAUCACCUCCGUCUCAAGCGUAUGCUCCUCCUCCCUGCCGGCGUUGUUGUAGAUCCGUUUUACUAACUCCCUCCAGAUAUUAUUUGCAGCAGUAUUUUGGUCGUUUUCUUGGCCUGGAACCGAUCUAGACCUGCUUGACAUAGCUAAUGAUCAAAGCCUUACCGUCUCGCGGUUUCGCCAGCCCAUCCUGAUUGCUUGAGAUCACAACGGCUGCCUUUGCUAUGGGCCUGGUAUGAAAGAGCACCUGAAGUUUGAUUUACUCUUCUUCACAUGUGGUGUUGUGGCACCAAAAUUCAGAUUAUAUGUUUCUUUGACCCAGUAAUUGUGAUCCUUUAAUGGUAGAUAGAGAUGUUUCUGUAGAGAUAGCCCGUCAUUGAUGCUGUUGUAGAUCUGUUUGACAAACUCCCUCUAGAUUUUAUUUGCAGCAGUGUUUGGUUGUUUUCUCGGCCUGGAACCGAUCUAGACCUGCUUACCAUAGCUAAUGAUCAAAGCCUUACAGUCUCGCGGUUUCGCCAGCCCAUCCUGAUUGCUCGAGAUCGCAGCCGCCGCCUUUGCUAUGGGCCUGGUAUGAAAGAGCACCUGAAGUUUGAUUUACUAUUCUUCACAUGUGGUGUUGUGGCACCAAAAUUCAGAUUAUAUGUUUGUUUGACCCAUCAAUUGUGAUCCUUUAAUGGUAGAUAGAGAUGUUUCCGUAGAGAUAGCCCUGCAUUGAUGCUGUUGUAGAUCCGUUUGACAAACUCCCUCCAGAUUGUAUUUGCAGUAGUAUUUGGUUGUUUUCUCGGCCUGGAACCGAUCUAGACCUGCUUUCCAUAGCUAAUGAUCAAAGCCUUACCGUCUCGCGGUUUCGCCAGCCCAUCCUGAUUGCUCGAGAUCGCAGCGGCCGCCUUUGCUAUGGGCCUGGUAUGAAAGAGCACCUGAAGUUUGAUUUACACUUCUUCACAUGUGGUGUUGUGGCACCAAAAUUCAGAUUAUAUGUUUCUUUGACCCAGCAAUUGUGAUCCUUUAAUGGUAGAUAGAGAUGUUUCUGUAGAGAUAGCCCGUCAUUGAUGUUGUUGUAGAUCCGUUUGACAAACUCCCUCCAGAUUUUAUUUGCAGCAGUAUUUGGUUGUUUUCUCGGCCUGGAACCGAUGUAGACCUGCUUGCCAUAGCUAAUGAUCAAAGCCUUACUGUCUCGCGGUUUCGCCAGCCCAUCCUGAUUGCUCGAGAUCGCAGCCGCCGCCUUUGCUAUGGGCCUGAGACAUUAUUCUCGGUGGAGGCCGGGCCGAUGGAUCACCAACACCGUCAGAAAUUGUCAGGAGGUCACCAUUACUUAACUACUCAUGCUGGCUGAUCUGCCUUGCAUCCGCCUUGGCAAUGGCCACCAAGAGAGUUGCAGAUUAAGUUUGGUAAGAGGGGAUUUCAGUCAUACGAGCUAUAUUUAUCCUCAUGAGUGCACCCUGGAAAUCAAGCUGAACGGGGCGGAAUCCCAAUGCUCGCCUGCUACUGAACAAGAGGACUACAAAGUACUAACGAAGUAGAGUGGUCAAAGACACAAACGGUGGUGAUCGCCCAAUUUCUCAAGAUUUUUUACUGUGUUCGCUUGCGUAGGAUGAUCUCAGUUUUUGUUUUACUCCUUUCGCUGUACUAGCAGUGUUGCUGUAAGUUGGUCCAUAUAACGAUAUUCUAUGUGUUUCAUUUUCAAUGAAAUAUACGUGUGACCAUGACAGGGCCUUUUGAUAGAAAUAAAGUUAUGCUCAUGACUUCAUUCAGUGGUAUUAUUGUAUAGCAAUCCGGUUUAUUCAGUAUAACUGUAUCCGAAUGCACAUCUAUAAUUUUUGUAGCAGAAUGUAGUUUGUAGUUAGUUUCUAGAAUCUUGCACCAGAAACCAUAUGUACAUGUUCUCUAUACUCUUCCAAUGAUGAAAUUCUGACCCUAUAUCCUUCAAAAUGUUCAUUCUUAUUCAUUAGGCACACAUAAAUACAGUAGAUAAACCACACAUUCAGUUAGAUUCAAUUUUAUUUCAUGUGCGUGAGCUUUCACUUCUUUUCCAUUGGUGUGCAAUUCAUUAUCCUACUUAUCAUUACUAAAGUUCUGUCCAUUGUGAGUCCGGAUCAAAAUUCAUGCUACGAUUGUGACUGUUAGUUGCUAUCUAAAGAGCAUUGCAUCAAAAAAACAUUCAGUUGGGUUGGUUUUGUUCUUCAGUUAGAUACAGAUUUCUCCGUGCAUUCAAAAAUUCAUACAACUGAUAUUUGAACACCUAGCAUUCAAUGCCAAACGACCUCUCCCAGUACCUUAUUCUGCUCCUGGCUCACAAUCUUCUGCAUUACCAAUGGCCUCAUCGCAUGGUGUAGAUUGUGUGCCUCCGCGACGUUGACUUUCAUUGACUACAUCAUUAGCGAUGUUCCUCUUCUUAGACCUCGAUGCCAGUUUUGCCAUUGUUGCAGGUAAGCAACCUUUCCUCUUUCGUUUGAAUCUAGAGGUGCACUUUUCCCCCCAUUUGUUGCUUGAAAGACGAGUUUUAAGUACAUCGUGAACACAAGCUAUCAAUACCGCACUAGGAAAUUUACAUCUAAACUGAGCUCCUAAGAGAUUUCCUAAUCAUAUAAGUUAUAUUUAUACACAUGUAGUAAAUUAUAAUGUUGGUUUUGUAAAAGCCUAUAGCACACUGGCGCCAUCAGUAUGUUAUAUUUUUGUUAUUCCAAAUAAACUUCGAGCAUACGAAUUUUUUUAUCUAUUUAUUCCAGACAGAUUAAUACGUGAU